UUCAAAGGAAAACUGAAUGGGAGGAGUUGGAGAUGAUGACAUCACGUACAGCAAAGGCUCAAGUCAUCAACAACAGCCAAUCAGAGGAAGCAGAGAAAGUCAUCCAGCUGUUGUCCUCUCAGCCCUGAGAACUGAAGACAUCAGUUAUGGACAAACAGCUGUCUGAUGGAACAGACUUUAAAACAGAGCCAGACGUCGUCUACUCCUCACUGAAGUAGUCCACCAGUCCAACCACUGACAUCCAGCUGCUGGUCUCUAACUGGUCCACACAGCCACACAAUGUUGAUUUGCAUAUAUUCUGUAGUGUCUUCUCAUUAUAAUAUACACUCUCAGUGUUUGUAUGAGUGUAUGUUGUAUAACUAAAAUAUGAAUGUCAUGUGUACAGCAGUGUCCUGCCUUC